AUAUCCUAGUAAUGACAGUAU
rnacentral:siRNA from 1 species